rnacentral:rRNA from 1 species
UUGCAGGCUGAAACCCGCCCUGUAUGAAGUUGGAAUCGCUAGUAAUCGCGGAUCAGCAUGCCGCGGUGAAUACGUUCCCGGGCCUUGUACACACCGCCCGUCACACCAUGAGAGUCGGGAACACCCGAAGUCCGUAGUCUAACCGCAAGGGGGACGCGGCCGAAGGUGGGUUCGAUAAUUGGGGUGAAGUCGUAACAAGGUAAC